GCAUUUGAUAUGCAGUGUUUCUUGAUAAUGAAACCGCUUGGGAUUUGUUUGGCAAGAUGACGUCGUUUGUCGUACGUUCGACGGGAAGGGUCUGGCCCACGUUAUCGAUCGCUUGCGAGAUGUUCCACAACCACGAACAAACAAUUAUAGCUUGACAACAAUUAUAUGCAUUCAAAGAUCUUUUCGUAGAUAUCUGAUACAUAGCAGGUGUGGUGGAUUUCGCCGCCGCAUCGGACAAACCGCGCGCUGUGCCUUUUAGAAGACCUGGCACUCAGCGCAACAUUUAUGUGUAGCUAUUACAGAGGUUAAGAAAAUAGCUUAAGAGUUCAGAAGCGCGGAAAAGAUGGAGUAUUCCAGUGCAGCGCCGCCUCUCGUGGCCAGUAAGUCGUGGCUAGUAGAGAUCGUCCAAAAGGAUAUUCUGUGUGCGCGCGUACCAUCGAAUUGAGUGAAUCUCUCACUCCCUGUAUGCAACUGUAUCAUACUCCGCACAGGGCGAUAUGUUUUGAAAAGAGCUGCCGGGCUUGGUGCGGAUGCAUCGCGUUGCCAUCACGGUGCAGCAGUUGUCCGCCCCUCCGUGUGUAGCGCCAUCGGUAAGUGUUAUGGUCGGGGUUUUUAAGAGCAUAAUAGGCAAAAAGAGCCUGCAGGCAGCGUGUUUUUGUCGGAGAGAUGUGUAUAGUAUUUUCUGCCGCGCACGUCGUUGUAGUAUAUGUGGCUUUCCCUCUCACGCACACAUCACAGGCACACGCACAAUAACAAUAAUAAUAAUAAUAAUAAUAAUAAUAAUAAUAAUAAUAAUAAUAAUAAUAAUAAUAAUAAUAAUCGUAGAUUCGCUGUCUCCUUCACUGACAUCUGACGCGUGUAUAAUAGUAGGUGAUGGGUGGGAUUUCACCGCCGCCUUCAUCGGGCAAACCGCGCACGCAAUUCCUUUUAUUAGCCCUGGGACUCUCACAGCUGCUCUAUAUAGAGAGAUUAUACAGCUUAUUAGCAGUCCAGCGCCGCGCAUAAGAGAUCGAUUUUGUAUUCUAGUGCAGCCGCCGUGCAUCGUAGUCUCUACAGGCGCUUGGGGGGUCACUGAAAGACGGUGGACAGGCAUCCUAUCUGAAGGUAAUGGCACAUAGAAAGGUUUAGAAAGCGUCCGGGAAUUGGGGCAUAGGUGUGUGGCGAUAUGUUUUUUGGGCGUGGCCUUCGGGGGAAAAGAUGAAGAGGGCGGGGGUGGGGGUGGGGGUGGGGGCGUACCCACAGCCCUCCCACAUUAUCUAUCUGCUGUGUACACAUGUUUUAAAAACAGGAAAUUUUUGCUCAUCACACCUGCUGCCCCCACACUUUUCAUAAGAUAGAAACUUAUAAAAAAUGUGCCGUCACCCUAAUUAUUUUUUAUUUUCCUCCCCCCCCCCCCAGCCAGCAGGUGAAAAGCAGAGACAUGGCUAGGAUCAGCCAAGCGCCAGCACCAGCGCCAGUGCUAGUGCUAGUGCUUAGGGUUUAAGCACAGAUGCCGUGGCGUGGGGGUGCUUUUGACGAAGGCCGUGACGUGCGGCAUGCUGCUGCUGCUGCUGGCCUGCUACCCGCUGGCGCUGCUACAGGGCCAACCCGUGGGUCAUCACAGCGACCCAUCUUUCGCCAGCCCUGCACCGCCGCCGCCGCUGCCGCCGUCACCUUUAGAGCUGGUGCAUGCAUUAGAUGGCGCCGUCAUGGGCGCCGUCAUGAGUCCCCUCACGGUGGCGUGGAUGCUGGCACUGUACGACGGCAUUGACGAGAUGGCGAUGAUGAUGAUGGCGGCGAUGAUGGCCAGCUGCAUCAGGCACAGCAGCACAGCCAUCAGCUGCCGAUGAUGAUGAUGCUGACGAUUGCAAUUGGUACAUAGAGAUUGGAAGGGGUUUGUGGAGAAUUUUUGNNN
rnacentral:lncRNA from 1 species